UUGUCUCCGAAGUGGCACCU
rnacentral:misc_RNA from 1 species